ACCAGACUCCUACGGGAGGCAGCAGUGGGGGAUAUUGCACAAUGGGGGAAACCCUGAUGCAACGACGCCGCGUGGGUGAAGAAGUAUUUCGGUAUGUAAAGCCCUCUCAGCAGGGAAGAAAGAAGACGGUACCUGACUAAGAAGCCCCGGCUAACUACGUGCCAGCAGCCGCGGUAAUACGUAGGGGGCGAGCGUUAUCCGGAUUCACUGGGUGUAAAGGGAGCGUAGACGGCCGUGCAAGCCAGGAGUGAAAGCCCGGGGCCCAACCCCGGGACUGCUCUUGGAACUGUGCGGCUGGAGUGCGGGAGGGGCAGGCGGAAUUCCUGGUGUAGCGGUGAAAUGCGUAGAUAUCAGGAGGAACACCGGCGGCGAAGGCGGCCUGCUGGACCGCGACUGACGUUGAGGCUCGAAAGCGUGGGGAGCGAACAGGAUUAGAUACCCCAGUA
rnacentral:rRNA from 1 species